AGGGAUUCUCGAAGAGAAAGCGCGUGAUUUUUGCUUAAAUCGGGGAUGUUAGAAGAAAAAACGCGUGAUUUUUGCUUACAUGGGGGAUUCACGAAGAGAAAACGCGUGAUUUUAGGGUUAAAUGGGGGAUUUUCGAAGAGAAAAUGCAUGAUUUUCACUUAAAUGGGUAAUUCUCAGAGAGAUUUUCUCUCAAAUGGGGGAUUCUCGAAGAGAAAAUGCGUGAUUUUCGGGUUAAAUUGGAAAUUCUCGAAGAGAAAGCUCGUGAUUUUCGGGUUAAACAGGAGGUUGUGGAAGAGAAAACGUGUAAUUUUUGGGUUAAACGGUGGAUUCGCGAAGAGAAAAUGCGUCAUUUUCAGGUAAAAUAGGGGUUCUCAAGAUAUAAUGCAUGAUUUGCAGGUUAAAUGGGGGAUUCGUGAAGAGAAAAUGUGUGUUUUUUGAGUUAAAUGGGAAAUUUGCAAAGACAAAGCGCGUGAUUUUGGGGUUAAGUGGGGGAUUCCCGAAGAGAAAACGCGUGAUUUUCAAGUUAAAUGGGGGAUUCCCGAAGAGAAACUGCGUGAAUUUCUUUUAAAUGGGGGAUUUCUGAAGAGAAACCAGGUAUUUAUGUUCUUAAACGGGGGAUUCUUGAAGAGAAAACGUGUGAUUUUGGGGUUAAAUGGGGGAUUUCAGAAAAGAAAACGCGUGAUCUUCGGGUUAAAUGGGGGAUUCUCGAAGAGAAAACGCGUGAUUUUUGGGUUAACUGGGGUAUUUCCAAAGUGAAAAUGCGUGAUAUUCGGGUUAAAUGGGUAUUUCCAAAGAGAAAACGCAUGAUUUUCAGGUUAAGUGGGGGAUUUUUGAAGAGAAAACGCGUGAUUUUCAGGUUCAAUGGGGAUUUCCAAAGAGAAAACGUGUGAUGUUCAAGUUAAAUGGGGAUUUCCGAAGAGAAAACACGUGAUUUUCAGGUUAAAUGGGGGAUUUUCAAAGAGAAAAUGCGUGAUUUUUGCUUAAAUGGGGGAUUCUCGAAGAGAAAACACAUGAUUUUUGGGUAAAAUGGGGGAUUCUUGAAGAGAAAACACACGGUUUUCGCUUAAAUGUGGGAUUCUGAAAGACAAAAUGCGUGGUCUUCAGGUUAAAUGGGGGAUUUUCAAAGAAAAAAAUUAUGAUUUUCGCUUAAAAGGGGGAUUCUCGAAGAGAAAGCGUGUGAUUUUUGCUUAAAUGGGGGAUUCUCGAAGAGAAAACACGUGAUUUUCUGGUUAAAUGGGGGUUUCUUGAAGAGAAAACGCAUGAUUUUCGCUUAAAUGGGGGAUUCUCGAAGAGAAAGCGCGUGAUUUUUGCUUAAAUGGGGGAUUCUCGAAGAGAAAACACAUGAUUUUCAGCUAAAAUGGGGGAUUCUUGAAGAGAAAAUGCACAAUUUUCGCUUAAAUGUGGGAUUCUCGAAGAGAAAACGUGUGGUCUUCAGAUUAAAUGGGGGUUUCUCGAAAAGAAAACGCGUGAUUUUUCGGGUAAAAUGGGGGGAUUUGUGAAGAGACAAUGCGUGAUUUUGGCUUAAAUGGAGGAUUCUCGAAGAGAAAACACGUGAUUUUCAGCUAAGAUGGGGGAUUAUCAAAGAGAAAGAGCGUGAUUUUCGUUUACAAGGAGGAUUCUCAAAGAGAAAGAGCGUGAUUUUCAGGUUAAAUGGGGGAUUUUCAAAGAGAAAAUGCGUGAUUUUUGCUUAAAUGGGGGAUUCUCGAAGAGAAAACACAUGAUUUUGGGUUAAAUGGGGGAUUUUCAAAGAGAAAAUGCGUGAUUUUUGCUUAAAUGGGGGAUUGUCGAAGAGAAAACACAUGAUUUUUGGGUAAAAUGGGGGAUUCUUGAAGAGAAAACACACGGUUUUUGCUUAAAUGUGGGAUUCUCAAAGACAAAAUGCGUGGUCUUCAGGUUAAAUGGGGGAUUUUCAAAGAAAAAAAUUAUGAUUUUCGCUUAAAAGGGGGAUUUUCGAAGAGAAAGUGUGUGAUUUUCGCUUAAAAGGGGGAUUCUCGAAGAGAAAGCGUGUGAUUUUUGGCUUAAAUGGGGGAUUCUCGAAGAUAAAUCGCAUGAUUUUCAGCUAAGAUGGGGGAUUCUCGAAGAGAAAGCGUGUGAUUUUCGGGUUAAAUGGGGGUUUUCCAUAGAGAAAACAUGGCAUUUUUGCAUAAACGGGGGGUUUCUGAAGAGGAAACGCGUGAUUUUUGGGUUAAGUGGGGGAUUCUCAAAAGGAAAUGCAUGAUUUUUGGGUUGAGUGGGGGAUUCUCAAAAAGAAAGCGCGUGAUUUUCGUGUUAAAUGGGGGGCUCCGAAAAAGAAAAUGCAUGAUUUUCGCUUAAAUGCGGGAUUCUCGAAGAGAAAGCGUGUGAUUUUUGCUUAAAUCGGAGAUGUUAGAAGAAAAAAUGUGUGAUUUUCGCUUAAAUGGGGGAUUCUCGAAAAGAAAGAGCGUGAUUUUUGCUUAAAUGGGGGAUUCUCUUAGAGAAAACACAUGAUUUUUGCUUAAAUGGGGGAUUUGCGAAGAGAAAACGUGUGAUUUUCGGGUUAAAUGGGGGAUUUGCGAAGAGAAAACGCGUGAUUUUUGCUUACAUGGGGGAUUCACGAAGAGAAAACGCGUGAUUUUAGGGUUAAAUGGGGGAUUUUCGAAGAGAAAAUGCAUGAUUUUCACUUAAAUGGGAAAUUCUCAGAGAGAUUUUCUCUCAAAUGGGGGAUUCUCGAAGAGAAAAUGCGUGAUUUUCGGGUUAAAUGGGGGAUUUGCGAAGAGAAAACGCAUGAUUUUUGGUUAAAUGGGGGAUUUGCGAAGAGAAAACGCGUGAUGUUCAGGUUAAAUGGGGGAUUCCCGAAGAGAAAACGUGCAAUUUUUAGGUUAAGUGGAGGAUUCUCAAAGAGAAAACGUGUGAUUUUUGAGUUAAAUGGGGGUUUGCAAAUAGAAACCACGUGAUUUUCAGAUUAAAUGGGGGAUCCUCGAUGAGAAAACACAUGAUUUUCGGUUAAAUGGGGGAUUCUUGUAGAAAAAAUGCGUGAUUAUCCGGUUAAAUUGCAAAUGCUCUAAGAUCGAGCUCGUGAUUUUCGGGUUAAAUGGGGGAUUCUCGAAGAGAAAACGUGUGACUUUUGGGUUAAACGAAGGAUUCUCGAUGAGAAAACUCAUGAUUUUCGGAUUAAAGGUGGGAUUCAUGAAGAGAAAAUGCGUGAUUUUCAGGUAAUAUGGGAGAUUUGUGAAGAGAAAACGCGUGAUUUUUGGGUAAAAUGGCGAUUCUGAAAACAUAAUGAGUGAUUUCCGGGUUAAAGGGGGAAAUCACGAAGAGAAAAUGCGUGACUUUUGAGUUAAAUGGGGGAUUUGCGAAGAGAAAACGCAUGAUUUUCGGGUAAAAUGGGGGAUUUGCGAAGACAAAACACGCAAUUUUUGGCUUAAAUGGGGGAUUUCGGGUGAGAAAAUGCAUGAUUUUCGGGUUAAAUGGGGUAUUUCCGAGGAGAAAACGCAUGAUUUUCGGGUUAAAUGGGGGAUUCUCGAAGAGAAAACGCGUGAUUUUCGGGUAAAAUGGGGGAUUCUUGAAGAGAAAACGCAUGAUUUUCGCUUAAAUGAGGGAUUUCUGAAGUGAAACCACGUUUUUUUUUGCUGAAAUGGGGGAUUCUCAAAGAGAAAGCGCGUGAUUUUUGAGUUAAAUGGGGGAUUUGCGAAGAGAAAGCGCGUGAUUUUUGAGUUAAAUGGGGGAUUUGCGAAGAGAAAGCUCGUGAUUUUCUUUUAAAUAAGAGAUUCUCGAUGAGAAAGCGCGUGGUUUUUAGGUAAUAUUAGGGAUUUCCGAAGGGAAAACGUGUGAUUUUCGGGUUAAAUGGGGGAUUCAUGAAGACAAACAG
ensembl:lncRNA